rnacentral:rRNA from 1 species
UCCUCCCUCUGGCGGCGUGCUUAACACAUGCAAGUCGAACGGAAAGGCCCUGCUUUUGUGGGGUGCUCGAGUGGCGAACGGGUGAGUAACACGUGAGUAACCUGCCAUUGACUUUGGGAUAACUUCAGGAAACUGGGGCUAAUACCGGAUAGGAGCUCCUGCUGCAUGGUGGGGGUUGGAAAGUUUCUGCGGUUGGGGAUGGACUCGCGGCUUAUCAGCUUGUUGGUGGGGUAGUGGCUUACCAAGGCUUUGACGGGUAGCCGGCCUGAGAGGGUGACCGGCAACAUUGGGACUGAGAUACGGCCCAGACUCCUACGGGAGGCAGCAGUGGGGAAUAUUGCACAAUGGGCGGAAGCCUGAUGCAGCAACGCCGCGUGCGGGAUGACGGCCUUCGGGUUGUAAACCGCUUUCGCCUGUGACGAAGCGUGAGUGACGGUAAUGGGUAAAGAAGCACCGGCUAACUACGUG